rnacentral:tRNA from 2 species
AGGCCCGUGAUGAAAUGGUAUCAUGGCGGUCUCCAAAACCGCCCUUUCAGGUUCGAGUCCUGACGGGCCUGCCA